AUAAGUAGACAAUAUCCAACCUGGACAAAACGGGCUUCCCUUGCGAGCCGACCUAAACCGCAUCCCCCAAAGAAUAGAGACUAAAUGCAAAGUGAGAAGAAACAGUUGAAGGACUAGGAAGAGGAUCCUCUAGGGAUGAGCUGGUCACUUUCAUGAAUUCAAAGGCAAUUUACCAGUGAUUUCUGGGUGCUGGGGCUGAUUUUUUUGUGCAUAUUUCUCACACAGUUUGAUAUAAACUUAAGUGAAUGAAUUCAUUAAUAAAAGCAGAUUUUCUAUUUUUAUUUCACCUCUGGGCCAUUUUAUACCUUUGGAGCACACGAGCACAACAAAAGAAGAAUGUCUUCCAAGCAAGCCACCUCUCCAUUUGCCUGUGCAGCUGAUGGAGAGGAUGCGAUGACCCAGGAUUUAACCUCAAGGGAAAAGGAAGAGGGCAGUGAUCAACAUGUGGCCUCCCAUCUGCCUCUGCACCCCAUAAUGCACAACAAACCUCACUCUGAGGAGCUACCAACACUUGUCAAUACCAUUCAACAAGAUGCUGACUGGGACAGCGUUCUGUCAUCUCAGCAAAGAAUGGAAUCAGAGAAUAAUAAGUUAUGUUCCCUAUAUUCCUUCCGAAAUACCUCUACCUCACCACAUAAGCCUGACGAAGGGAGUCGGGACCGCGAGAUAAUGACCAGUGUUACUUUUGGAACCCCAGAACGCCGCAAAGGGAGUCUUGCCGAUGUGGUGGACACACUGAAACAGAAGAAGCUUGAGGAAAUGACUCGGACUGAACAAGAAGGUAUGUGUGGACUUCACUGUUGGGCUCUAUUUUUUUUUCUUCUAAAGAUUCCAGGCCUUAAAAAAAAAAAGUGGGAUUUCAAGGGUCAGAGAAGUGCAUAAUUGGCACUAGCUAGGAAAAAGUUAUUCAGAGGUUACUAUGGUGAUGGCAGAUUGUGAUCCAUUAGGAGUGUUAAACAGCUCCGUUUUUCUAAAACUUUGUGCAUUUUAUUUGGUUCUUAAGAUAACAGGUUAAGAUUUUAAACUGACCAUAAUCCUACUCUGGAAAAAGGUAAGAAGGGAUUUUUCCUAACUACAACUUUAUUUUUCAUUUUUUCUCCCCUAUUUCCUUUUGGUGGAUAGUUUUUUUUUUAUAAAAAUGUCAACUGUUUAAAAAGCAAAAUUAAAAAGAUUUCUCUUCAUUUUUAUAAAUAUA
rnacentral:sRNA from 1 species